rnacentral:rRNA from 1 species
CCUACGGGAGGCAGCAGUGAGGAAUAUUGGUCAAUGGCCGAGAGGCUGAACCAGCCAAGUAGCGUGAGGGAAGACUGCCCUACGGGUUGUAAACCUCUUUUGUCGGGGAGCAAAGCGAAGCACGUGUGGUUCAUUGAGAGUACUCGAUGAAAAAGGAUCGGCUAACUCCGUGCCAGCAGCCGCGGUAAUACGGAGGAUGCGAGCGUUAUCCGGAUUUAUUGGGUUUAAAGGGUGCGUAGGGGGGUGGGCAAGUCAGUGGUUAAAGUUCGGGGCCCAAACCCGGAAUUGCGGUUGAUACUGCAUGCCUUGAGUGCGGGAGAGGUAGGCGGAAUGCGUGGUGUAGCGGUGAAAUGCAUAGAUAUCACGAAGAACUCCGAUUGCGAAGGCAGCAUACCGGCGCGCAACUGACACUGAUGCACGAAAGCGUGGGUAUCGAACAGGAUUAGAUACCCUGGUAGUC